AUCUUCGGGGCAAGGUGAAAUUCCUGACCGGCAGUAAAGUCUGCGAAGCGUGAAGAAACGCCCGAUGCGGUGAAAUUCCGCAGCCGACGGUUAUAGUCCGGACGAAAGAAGAU
rnacentral:ncRNA from 1 species